rnacentral:misc_RNA from 1 species
CAAAAAUUAAGACGCUUAAGAGUUCUAUCAUUGAGUGGUUAUAACGUUAGUGAGCUGCCAGAUUCAAUCUCUAAUUUGAAGCAUUUACGGUACCUUAAUAUGUCUUGCACCAAACUUAAAUGGUUACCUGAAUCUUUGAGCACUCUUUUGUACCUAGAAACACUGUUAUUACAUGGCUGCACAGAGCUUACUAAGUUGCCGCAAGGCAUUGGGAAUUUGAUUAACCUUUGUCAUCUAGAUAUUACCAAUACUCACAAUUUGCAUGAGAUGCCUUUGCAGAUAGGUAAUUUGACUAGUCUUCAGACAUUGUCUAAGUUUAUCUUGGGAGAAGGUUGUGGGUACAGGAUUAGUGAACUAAAAGAUUUGAAGCAUCUUCAGGGGAAACUUUCCAUUAUGGGAUUGGAUAAUGUGGCAGAUGGUCGACAUGCAUUUGAUGCUGAUUUAAGAAAAAGGCACAGUCUUCUUGAGUUAGGGUUGGAAUGGAGCAGCAACUUCCAAGAUCUUCGAAAUAAGGAAUGUGAAAUGCAAGUACUUAAGUGGCUAAGACCUUGCACAAGUCUUAGAGAGCUCAACAUUUUGUUCUAUGGGGGUACAGAAUUCCCAUUGUGGAUAGCAGAUCCCUCAUUUGCUAAAUUAGUGCAACUAAAACUCUCUUGUUGUAGACAAUGCACUUCACUACCUUUUCUUGGUAGACUACCUUUACUUAGGAAUCUGUGCAUAGAAGGCAUGGAUGCAGUAAAGACCGUUGAUUUUGACUUCUGUGGAGAUGGUUCUCCUUUGGCCAACCUUUUUCCAUCUUUAGAGACACUGAAAUUUGAAGAUAUGUUGGUAUGGGAAUUGUGGUUGUCUUCUAAUGGAGACAAUGAAGAACCUGACAAUAUAUUUCCUCGUCUCUCAGAACUUACAUUAUUGAAUUGUCCCAAGUUAACUGGGAAAUUACCUAAACGCCUUUGUUCACUUGCAAAGCUCACAAUAUGCAACUGCCCAAUAUUGGAAAAUUCACUUAUAAGCCUUCCAUCCCUUCAUGAGCUGAAGUUAGAAGAGUGCAGUCAGGUGGUACUAAAACACAUGGUUGACAACACUUCCUUGACAACACUGACGAUCAGGAGCAUGGCAGAUAUUUCUUGUUUGCAGGACAUUUUUGUGCAGUCACUGGUAGCACUUAAAGUUCUGGUUAUUUCUAAUUGCACAAAGCUAACAUUUCUGUGGAAUCAGAUAACUGGAUUAGAAAAAGUGUUCGGUCUUGAACGCAUUAUAAUUAAGGACUGUCCUCAACUUGUGUCAUUAACAGAGAAUGGCUCAGUCUGCAACGAUGAAGAGCAACUGCCAUAUGGGCUACAUGGACUCCAGUCUCUCAAGGAUCUGCAUGUUGAAUCUUGCCCAAAACUUGCAUCUUUUCCAGAAGCAGGAGUCUUGUCCUCACUAAGAUGUUUUGUGUUAAAGAAUUGUGAAGCUCUGAUGUCCCUGCCUGAUGGUAUGAUGAGGUUCAGUUGCAGAACUAAUAUGUGUCUUCUUGAAGAAUUGGAGAUUGAAGAGUGUCCUUCGCUUGAGUGCUUUCCAGAAGGCGAGUUACCCAUGACGCUGAAAGUGUUGAAAAUCCGAUUCUGUACAAAACUCCGGUCUCUGCCUGAGGGAUUAAUGAACAAGGUUAACAUGUCUCAUCUAGAACACGUGGAGAUCAUUGGUUGUCCAUCUUUAACAUCCCCUCCAACAGGAAAAUUGCCUUUUCAAGUUAAAUCACUUCAGAUCUCGGACUGCUCAGAAUUGGAGCCACUUCCUCGAAGGAUGCGGCAUGACAAUGCAACAAUUGAAUGCGUUAACAUUUGGAGCUGUACAGUUCUGAAAAGCUUGCCAGACUGCCUUAACAGCCUCUCUUGUCUCACUGAAUUAUAUAUAAAUAAUUGUUCUGCUCUAAGGUCCUUUCCAGAAGUGGGCCUGUCCCUUCCCAACCUCAGAACAUUGAAUAUCUAUGAUUGCUUCAAUCUGAAAACUCUUCCUGGUGAGAUGAGAAACCUAAUGUCUCUUCAAGAGCUAGCAGUAUGCAACUGUCCAAGUCUUGUGUCCUUUCCGCAAGGGGAUUUGCUUCCAAAUCUAACGUCCCUUGAAAUUUGGGAUUGUGGAAAUAUUGAACUGUCAAUGUCAGAGUGGAACUUCCAAAGUCUAACCCAUCUUAGAGAUUUAAGCAUUGCUGGUGGAUGCUUUAAAAAUACAGUUUCCUUUCCUAAUGAGAAGUGUCUGCUUCCUCCAUCUUUAAUGUCUAUUUAUAUUGGAGGGCUCCCAAAUUUGGAAUCCCUAUCCAUGCAGCUGCAAAGUCUCACAUCUAUAGAAGAGCUAGAGAUUGUUGAUUGUCCUAAGCUUCAGUCUUUACCAAGUGAAGGCAUGCCUCCCACACUUGGAAGAUUCAGCAUUAGGGACUGUCCACUUCUAAAACAACAGUGCUUCCCAAAGAAAGGCAUGUGCUGGCCCCUGAUAGUACACAUCCCAUGCAUGGAGAUGGAUGGCGAAGACAUAUGAUAUGAACUGAUUUUAGCAAAUCAUUUUAUGCUUUUUUUGGGAUAAGUGCAAGUUGAGAUUCUAUCUUUUAAUUCAGGUAUACGCAAUCUUGAUGCAGAACUAUUCUCAUUAAUUGAAUAUUUUUUCUUCUAAUAUUUUUCUCAUUCGUUGAAAUUUCCUGGUGUAAUAUAGGAUUGAAGAAAACAAGAAAUGGGAAAAAUCUGAAGUAUUGCAGCCAUUAGUGCAACAACUAAUGUGAGUAUGUUCUGUCAGUUGUUAUUCUCAUUUUGUGGGAAAGGAAAAAGAUACCAAUACCAUGGUAGUUGGUAAGCUUGCUAUGGAUAGUUUUGAAAGAGCAUUUUCUUUAUGCUGUUUAUAUACUUUAGAUUCAUUUUAACUGGUUCAGUGGAAGUAUUUUUCUUUUGAACUAGUGUACCCUUUGUAUUCUGUUUAUGGAAUAAUCUAUACGGAAGCCCUUGAACUUCAUGAAGAAAAACCGAUUGAUCUCUCUGCUUUUAUAUCAACCUUUUGAGUCCCUUAACUUCUAUUGAUCAAGUCCAUUUUGGACAUGUCAACAAUGCACGUCAAAAUACAUGCAAUGUUUCAAAAGCAUGAUUCAAAAAAAAAAAAAAGAUAG